UCUGUGAGACUGUGUUGCUGGGUCAGAUGGGAAAACAACGAGCCUUAGCUGUGAGUGUCAGACCAGCUCCUAGCAACACUGAGGCACAGCUGAGUCAGACUAAGUUCCGAGAUGUCAGGAGCUGCUUUCCAGAGAAUCUGUCUACUGAGAGAAAAAGAAAGAUACAAAAUGAGACACCGCUUCUGUUCUGAGGACCCAUCCUGUGGAUAUGCAAGUCCAUCAACGCUAAACAAACUCAGGAAAUGGAGACGUAAAUGACAAAUGAGAGAUGAGGAGUAAGAAACCCAAACCACAGCAUACCAAGCAGAAACCUUGACUUACACUGGAAUCCCAUAUAGCAUCCUUCUUAAAGGAGAUUUUUCCAAUGCGUCAAGUGACGGCACCUUCCUUGGGGACACGUAUGGCAUUCUUUGUGACAGCCUGGUGUAGGUGCUACCUUUCCCAGCAAUUUAAAACCAUGGAAAAAUUCUUCUAUAGAGGAGUGACACCCUUGGAGACGUUAAGACAAUUAAUCUGCAAACAGUGUUGAAUCCAGGCCACUGGUGUUGGAGAAACUGGGGUAAAGAAGAUCUCAAAGAGGGCCUCUUAACAUCUUGACACUGUUUUAAUGAUGAUACCCUUUAAGAGGAAUAACAACUUUAUGCUCACUUUCCCAGUUUUCA
rnacentral:lncRNA from 1 species